AAUUUUAUCAUUAAUUUUUUAUUUUCUCCACCAAUUUCACAUAAAAGACAGAACAGCGAAAAAGAGAAAUCAUGACAGGACUGUAAGAAAAAACAUUUGAGAGAGAAUUUGGAGCAAAUAUUGCAGAUCUGAAAUUUGUUACACAGAUGCAACAGGCUGGACGACUUUCCACGAAUAGGCACUGCAGCCCCCAAACUGAAGCUCUGGUGCCACAAAGAAACUGGAAAUGGCUCACACUGGCUCUGUGGAGUAAGACUGUGGGGUUGGGAUCAGAGGCAGGGAAAGCAUUGUUGCAGAAGUGGGGGGGGGGGGGGGGUCUCCACUUUUCUUUCUCAACCUUUGCUUCUUGAUGGAUGUAUUACCACCUGAUGGGCUGCUGCAAUUGUCCUUUCAAAGGUGCAGGGUACUUGAAUGAAAGUUAUAGAGUGGGCAAACAAGAGAAAAUCAAGACAAAACCUAGCUCCGGGAGCCACUAUUCUCAAUCCAACAGUUUCACUCCUGGUAAGCAUCCC
rnacentral:lncRNA from 11 species